UGGGGAAUCUUGCGCAAUGGGCGAAAGCCUGACGCAGCAACGCCGCGUGGGGGAUGAAGGCUCUCGGGUCGUAAACCCCUUUCAGUGGGAACGAAAUUGACGGUACCCACAGAAGAAGGACCGGCCAACUACGUGCCAGCAGCCGCGGUAACACGUAGGGUCCGAGCGUUGUCCGGAUUUAUUGGGCGUAAAGGGCCCGUAGGCGGCUUGAUAAGUCGGGUGUGAAAACUCCAGGCUCAACCUGGAGACGCCACCCGAUACUGUCAUGGCUUGAGUCUGGUAGGGGAGUGCGGAAUUCCUGGUGUAGCGGUGAAAUGCAUAGAUAUCAGGAGGAACACCGGUGGCGAAGGCGGCACUCUGGGCCAGUACUGACGCUGAUGGGCGAAAGCGUGGGGAGCAAACAGGAUUAGAUACCCCCGUAGUCC
rnacentral:rRNA from 1 species